GUAGGUAUAGUUUAACAAAACGUUAGAUUGUGAUUCUAGAGAUAAGGGUGAGACACCCUUUACCCACC
rnacentral:tRNA from 1 species